CAUGAUCCUUCAGACUGAGACAUGCAAGCGAAGGCGGGUGACUUUAAUGUCCAGUGGAAAGAUAGUUAAUCACCUCUUUAAUUAAACCAAUAUACGUCAUCACCACUUUAAGGAAUUCAUUGCAGUCAUUAUUACCCUCCUGUUACAUGGGAGGACUCAAAGGACCAAAAAGUUUCAGUUCAUGGUCGGCUUGCUCCAUGGCAGAGGCAGGAUGGCGGAAGGGAACUGCAGAGAAGCACUCAACCCGUAGCAACCAGGAAGCAGAAGAGAAGGGAGCAGCUGAGGGCAAGAAUCCCGCCCUCCAGGUCACUCAUCCAGGACCCACCUCCAGCCAGACCCCCACUUCUAACAGCACAGCCAGCUCCCAAAUGCUUUGAUGCACGAAUCCACUGGUAAAUGUAGCACCACAUGAUCCAAUCACCUCUUACACAUGAGAAUUUGGGGGGGAAAGUUUAGAUCUAAACCAUAACAUGGCACAAAAUCAAAAUUCUCUCUUUUCAAAAGAAAUUUAAUGCUAGUAGAGUGGACUUAGAUUGCAUAAAGAUGCUAAGAGGGUAAACAUUUCUUAUUUUCUUCUAUUCCCUUCUAUCUGGAGGUGUUUUGGGCAUAUUAUAGAAAAUGGUAUCCGUACAUUUUACAUUUCUAUAUGCCAUCUGUCUUCAUCUUUACCCUGAAAAUUAUUUUAUGUUGACAGUGUCCAGUUAUGUCAGAGAUUAUAGAAAAUAAGAAAUAUGAAGAUAAAUCCAGCUUACAUUUAUCAGAGGUGAUCAUUCAGAAUGAAGUAUGUUAGUUCUAAAUCAAUAAUAUAAUAUUUUGUUAUCACAUACAGAACAUCAGUUAUGUACAUGAAGGAUAAUAAUUGUCUAUUUUAAGUCCUGCCUAGGGGUAGUUUAAUUCUAUUGCGAAGCUUCUAGGAUUUCAAUUGAUGCAGUGCAAAUUAAUGGUCAAUGUUAAUAUUACAAAGUUUAUGAGAUUUAGAUCCAAAACAGAAGCUGUUAAAAAUAACAUUUCAAUUAUUAGUUCUCCUGGUGGUCUUUAAUAAAAGAGAUGAAAUAGAUAUUUUUCUAAAGCUCUGGUUAGGUUCACAUUUUCUUAAUGCUCCUAUAGGAUAGGCACUGAAGAGAUUUAUAAUGUAUUCCUUUAUGUAAAUAUUUGUUAUUUUAAUUUUUGUGCUAAUUGGCAUAACAAAGCCAUUUCAAAUAACAUACUCCUGUUUGUUGUAUAAUCAUAUUAAGAUAUUUAGUAUGAGCUCACUUCCUUUCCAUUCUGCACCCAAACCAACAAGGUCAUAUCGAUAACCCCAGAAUACCUACCUUGACAAAUAACUCUUGAACUGGCAGUUACUAAACAUAGGGAUAAAACUGCAUUUAGUAAAUUUAGGAAAAAAGUUAUUCAAAAUAUAAAGUCACACAAACUUUGACAGAUUUUAUGGGCAUUCCUAUGAACAUUCAGCAAAGUCUGUGUGAAGAACAGGAGAUAUAUUCAACUGGGAAAGCUGAGAAAGAUGUGAUCUCACUUCCUGUGUGUUCUCUCCCAUUAUCCUGGUCUCUAUUUCCUAAUUCACUUACAGGGUCCUCCUUGCUGGCAUCUCUCGUUCUAGUCAUACCUUCUUAGAAGCCCUCUUCCUUAUUAAAGCCAAAGUAGUCUAUUAGGUGGAAUUACAGUGUGACUGACAUUUCAGACACCAGAUUGUGAAAGAAUCUUUCCCUAACACCAAGAUUUGAUUGUGCUGAGCUUCUUUUGCAUUAGUACUUACUAUAUAUCACUGGAAUGAAGACUGUCACCAGACACUUAAGUUUCUCUAGGGUAGGAACUGUCUUAUGUAUUCUCAAUGUCUAGGAAAAGGCCUGGUGUACAGUAAGUACUCAAAAAAAACACAAGUUGAGCUGAACUGGUAGGAACAAAGUCUUAAUUCAUAAAUUUAUUUUGUUUUGUAAAUUUUUCAAUAAUGGAACUAAAAUAUGGUCUGGAUUUGUGUAAAUUUCUAUGGGAACAUUUUCAAUAUAAUAGACAUUUAGAAUGGGAUGGUCUAGUUCUUCAGACUUUAUAGAAAUAUAUUUUCACUGUUAUUAAAAUAUUUUUAGUUCCAAACUUCUAAGAUCUCAAAACCAUCCCAACUCAUUCUGCAUCAUUUCCAAAGUGGCUUUAGCGUAGACUGUUUGCUUUGUUUUCAUUUUUAACAUUAUUCAAGGAGAACAGGAGCGAGUGUUGUUGACGCUAUGACAACAGAAGACAUGUUUUCUAGAAAAAUCCUUUAUCCUUCAGAUUUUAUCAUAUUGUUACAAAGUUCAAAGAUAACUAAAACCCUUAAAAUGUAUCUUUCAGUAUUUACCUAUACUAUGAUAAUUGUGUGAGGAAAGUAUGAGCAGAAUGGACACAUUUUAAAGAGAAGAUCUUGAUGGUUUUCCAGACUACCAUCCAGCUCUGGUCUGGGUACGUUUUCUUCUGCACACCUUCUAUCCCUACUGAGGGUGGAAAAAAAUCAGUGCUGCUGUUCUUAGAGCACUGCAUGGUUUCUGUGAAUCCCUAGAACCAGGUAUUGGCCUGGAAGCCUCCAUAAAGCUCUACCAAGUGUCAGCUACUGUUGAACAGAAAGCAUCGUACAUCUAUAAGAGAAAAUGUCUCCCCAGGCCAGUAUAUUUCACUUUCUUAGUUGCCCAGGUAAUAGUUCCUGUUCCACUUCCAGUUGCUUGUGUCUCUUAGGAACAUGGUCACUGUGAUACCUAGCUGGUCACUAUGAUGCACGUUGUAUAAACCAAUCCCUAAGUAAGAAAGCAUUCUGCCUCUGUACUUCCUGCCUGCUUAUCCAGUAUAAGCCCUAA